rnacentral:rRNA from 1 species
UACGGAGGAUGCGAGCGUUAUCCGGAUUUAUUGGGUUUAAAGGGUGCGUAGGCGGGCUGUUAAGUCAGCGGUCAAAUGUCGGGGCUCAACCCCGGCCUGCCGUUGAAACUGGCGGCCUCGAGUGGGCGAGAAGUAUGCGGAAUGCGUGGUGUAGCGGUGAAAUGCAUAGAUAUCACGCAGAACUCCGAUUGCGAAGGCAGCAUACCGGCGCCCUACUGACGCUGAGGUUCGAAAGCGUGGGUAGCAAACAGG